GCCGGGAGCCGCAGCUCAGACGCUAGGCGCUCACAGCUAUGCGGCCGGGGUCUCAGAGAUCUCGAGGGUCGCCUGCGUUGGGGCUGCUGCUGUUACUGCGACUACAGUGGCCGGUGUGGGGGGCUGAGGCGUUUCAAGGAAACAGCCUUGGAGAGCCAGUCAUCCUGCACUGGGUUCUGGAUGGACAACCCCAGCGCAUGGUCACCGUGGAGGAGCCGGUCUUGAAGCUAGAAGUGGGGCUGGUGGUCUUGGAGGCUGAAGGCCAGGAGCUCCUGCUAGAGCUGGAGAAGAAUCACAGGCUGCUGGCCCCAGGAUACACAGAAACCCACUACAGCCCAGAUGGGCAGCCCGUAGUGCUGUUCCCCAACCACACGGAUCAUUGCCACUACCAUGGGCGUGUGAGGGGCUUCCCGGACUCCUGGGUAGCCGUCAGCAUCUGCUCGGGGAUGAGGGGCCUGAUCAGGCUCAGCAGCACUGCCAGCUAUUACCUGCAUCCCUGGCCAGCUGGGCACUCCAAGGACUUCUCGACCCACAAGAUCUUCCGGACGGAGCAGCUGCUCAGCUGGAAAGGGGCCUGUGGCCACAGGGACCCAGAGGACAAAAGGGACAUGGCCAGCCUUUCGAGUGCCACCCAGAUCAGGGAGAGGCGGGAGUCCCUCGGGAGCCGGAGGUACCUGGAGCUGUACAUAGUGGCGGACCACACCCUGUUCUUGACCCAGCACCGGAACUUGAACCACACCAAACAGCGUCUUCUGGAGGUCGCCAGCUACGUGGAUCAGAUUCUCAGGACUCUGGACAUUCAGGUGGCGCUGACCGGCCUGGAAGUGUGGACCGAGCAGGACCAGAGCCGCGUCACGCCAGACGCGAACGCCACGCUCUGGGCCUUCCUGCAGUGGCGCCGGGGACUGUGGGCGCGGCAGCCACACGACUCGGCGCAGCUGCUCACGGCCCGCGCCUUCCAGGGCGCCACCGUGGGCCUGGCGCCCGUCGAGGGCAUGUGCUGCGCGGAGAGCUCUGGAGGCGUGAGCACCGACCACUCGGAGCUCCCCAUUGGUGCUGCAGCCACCAUGGCCCACGAGAUAGGCCACAGCCUCGGCCUCAGCCACGACCCCGACGGCUGCUGCUUGGAGGCAGCGGCGGAGCAGGGCGGCUGCGUGAUGGCAGCGGCUACCGGGCACCCUUUCCCGCGUGUGUUUAGCGCCUGCAGCCGCCGCCAGCUGCGCGCCAUCUUCCGAAGGGGAGGGGGCGCGUGCCUCUCCAACACGCCGGACUCCGGGCUCCUGGUGCCCCGGGCGCGCUGCGGGAACGGCUUCCUGGAAGAGGGCGAGGAGUGCGACUGCGGCGCCGGCCAGGACUGCCUGGACUCCUGCUGCCUUGCCCACAACUGCUCGCUGCGUGCAGGGGCCCAGUGCACCCACGGGGACUGCUGCGCACACUGCAUGCUGAAGCCGGCGGGCACGCCGUGCCGCCGGGCUGCAGGUGACUGUGACCUCCCUGAAUUCUGCACGGGCGCCUCUCCCUAUUGCCCCCCGGACAUUUACCUACUGGAUGGCUCGCCAUGCGCCAGAGGCCGAGGCUACUGCCUGGACGGCGCGUGUCCCACGCUGGAGCAGCAGUGCCAGCAGCUCUGGGGGCCUGGCUCCCGCCCAGCCCCGGAGGCCUGUUUCCAGGUCGUGAACUCCGCGGGAGACGCCCAUGGGAACUGCGGCCAGCAGGGAGACGGCAGCUUCGUGCCCUGCGCGGCGAGCGAUACGCAGUGUGGGAAACUGCAGUGCCAGGGUGGGGAGCAGAGCGCACUGGUGCCGCACACGGUGCCGAUGGACUCCACCGUACACCUAGGCAGCCGCCAGGUGACCUGCAGGGGAGCCUUGGUGCUGCCCGGUGCCCAGCUGGACCUGCCUGACUUGGGCCUGGUAGAGUCAGGCACCCGGUGUGGCCCUAGAAUGGUGUGCCAGCAGCGGCGCUGCCAGAACACUUCCUUCCAAGAGCUGGAGCUCUGCCUGAGCGCCUGCCACAGCCGCGGGGUUUGCAAUAGUAACCGUAAUUGCCACUGUGCUCCGGGCUGGGCUCCGCCUUCCUGUGACAAGCCAGGAUUCGGUGGUAGUGUGGACAGCGGUCCUGUGCAGCCUGAAAGUGCGCCCGUGGGGGGCAUGUGGGGAGGGGCCGCGUGGUGCACCUCGGCACUCAGCCAUACCCUGUCCUCCGCAGACCAGGACACCUUCACACUGGCGGUGAUCCUCAGCUUUCUGCUGCCUCUGCUCCCUGGGGCCGGCCUGGCCUGGUGCUGCUGCCGGCACCCGGGACUCCGUCUCCAACAAUGCUUUUGGGGCUCAAGGAGGGACCCUGUGUGCAGUGGGUAGGCACUGAGGGCUAAGGUUCCUGCUCCCUGAGCCCACUCCUUUGGUUCCUGCUCCUCGGAGCUCUGCUGGACCUGGGGCAGCUGGAGUGGGGUCCUCAGGCCUUGCCCCCAGGUGUGGAGAGGCAGGCAGAGGCCAUGGAAAGAAGCCUUGAGCAGAAGGCCCCAGUGGCUUUCCGGUGAAGCUGAAGGUGUGGAUCUGUGCAGCGCCCUCUACCCUGGCCCGCACUGCUGUGGUUCAGUACCUCUUGUCCACGUCUUCUGUUUCUCCCACCAAGAGGCUGCCUCAUCCUUCACUUUGCCCUGCUUUUCCACCAGCUCAUGAUGCAAUUCCUGCUCCAGUGUGCCCUUCAAGGCCUCUCCAGCUUCUCUCUCAUGAGCUUUCAGCCCUCUGGCGUUUCCUCUGCCUCAGUCUGUGCUGUUACCUCCUUCAAGUUCCCAAAUGCUAGGCCCAGCACAUCUUUCCUUUCCCUACCACUGGACAGCUAUGGCGCUGGGUGCCUUUGUGCCAAGGGCCUGCCCCUAACCCAGUUCUCUACAACCUGGGAUGAGGGUCACAUGAUACCAAGCAUGGUCAGUCUAGGGCUGUCCCUUCACUGGGCACUGGGCAAGGCAUGUCCCCUAUGACCACAUCUGACACAGCCUGGCCUCGGGAGUAUUCUUGGCAAGCUGAGGGAGAGGGCAAGGUUUGGACUGGAGAUGGGGGCAGAGGGCAUCCCAAACAGAGGCAGGGCACCAGCUGAGAGUGCCUUGACACAAUGAGUGUUGAUUGUGGGUCUGAGAGCAGAGGAUCAAGGUGGUCAGAGCUUGGUGUGUCAUCACUGGGGGCUUACGGGGGGGCAGCACCUGCAUGUCAUCACCUGGGUGAGGUACUGAGAAGACUGUUGCAAAGAGAUGUCAAAGUGGGACGGCCCUGGGAGAGGGGGCGUGAGCAGCGGAGCACAGCUUGGAGUCAUCGAGGGCAGCAGGGCCACCCAAUGACAAGGAGCACAAACACAGACCUAAAAAUGGCCCACGCAGGGGCCACCCUUUGGGCAGCAUUCACCCCAUGGAGUUGGGCCUGAGAGCCACUGCAGAGCCCCGGCCCCUCGACCUUGAGAACUCUGCCCC